GUAAAUAUAGUUUAACAAAAACACUAGAUUGUGGAUCUAGAAAUAGAAACUCGACAUUUCUUAUUUACC
rnacentral:tRNA from 1 species